rnacentral:rRNA from 1 species
UCGAGAAUCUUUCGCAAUGCCCGCAAGGGUGACGAAGCGACGCCGCGUGUGGGAAGAAGGCCUUCGGGUUGUAAACCACUGUCGGGAGUUAAGAAAGGCGGGAGAGUGAAUAGCUUUCCUGUUUUGACGAAAGCUCCGGAGGAAGCCACGGCUAACUCUGUGCCAGCAGCCGCGGUAAUACAGAGGUGGCAAGCGUUGUUCGGAAUUAUUGGGCGUAAAGGGCACGUAGGCGGCCCUGCAAGUCAGUUGUGAAAUCCUUCCGCUUAACGGAAGAACGGCAGGUGAUACUACAGGGCUAGAGUGCGGUAGGGGAGAGCGGAACUUCUGGUGGAGCGGUGAAAUGCGUAGAUAUCAGAAGGAACACCGGCGGCGAAAGCGGCUCUCUGGUCCGUAACUGACGCUGAGGUGCGAAAGCUAGGGGAGCAAACGGGAUUAGAUACCCCGGUAGUCCUAGCCGUAAACGAUGGGCACUCGGUAGAGGGGUUCUAAAUAUCUCUCUGCCUGAGCUAACGCGUUAAGUGCCCCGCCUGGGGAGUACGGCCGCAAGGCUAAAACUCAAAAGAAUUGACGGGGGCUCGCACAAGCGGUGGAGCAUGUGGCUUAAUUCGAUGCAACACGAAGAACCUUACCGGGGCUUGACAUGAUAGUAGUAGGAGCCUGAAAGGGUAACGAACGGUAUCCAGUCCGUUGCUAUCACAGGUGCUGCAUGGCUGUCGUCAGCUCGUGUCGUGAGACGUUGGGUUAAGUCCCCUAACGAGCGAAACCCUUGUCUUUAGUUGCGAACGGGUAAUGCUGAGCACUCUAAAGAGACUGCCGUCGUUAAGACGGAGGAAGGUGGGGAUGACGUCAAGUCAACAUGGCCCUUAUGUCCCGGGCUGCACACGUGCUACAAUGGUCGGCACAAAGGGAUGCUAAGUCGCAAGGCGGAGCGAAACCCAUAAAGCCGAUCCCAGUUCAGAUUGGAGGCUGAAACUCGCCUCCAUGAAGUUGGAAUCGCUAGUAAUCGCGGAUCAGCUAUGCCGCGGUGAAUAUGUUCCCGAGCCUUGUACACACCGCCCGUCAAGCCACCCAAGCAGGGCGUACCCGAAGUCGCUGGCCUAACCCGAAAGGGGGGGAGGCGCCUAAGGUGUGUCUUGUGAGGAGGACUAAGUCGUAACAAGGUAGUCGUAGGAGAACC